ACCUCUGUGGUGUGGUGCUAGCACGCGUCCCCGGUAUGGAUGAAACGCGGGUUCGACUCCUGUCUGAGGUC